rnacentral:rRNA from 1 species
UACGAAGGGUGCAAGCGUUACUCGGAAUUACUGGGCGUAAAGCGUGCGUAGGUGGUUUGUUAAGUCUGAUGUGAAAGCCCUGGGCUCAACCUGGGAAUUGCAUUGGAUACUGGCAGGCUAGAGUGCGGUAGAGGAUGGCGGAAUUCCCGGUGUAGCAGUGAAAUGCGUAGAGAUCCGGAGGAACACCAGUGGCGAAGGCAGUCCCCUGGGCUAACACUGACGCUCAUGCACGAAAGCGUGGGAGCAAACAGG